CGAGCGAAGCGAGAGAACGUUGCGUCAGCAACGGCCCGCAGGGCGAGCCACGCAGUGGCGAGUCAUCCUCUAUCACCGGCAG
rnacentral:sRNA from 3 species